rnacentral:rRNA from 1 species
CUGCUGCCUUCCGUAGGAGUUUGGACCGUGUCUCAGUUCCAAUGUGGGGGACCUUCCUCUCAGAACCCCUAUCCAUCGUUGUCUUGGUGGGCCGUUACCCCGCCAACUAACUAAUGGAACGCAUCCCCAUCCCAUACCGAAAUUCUUUAAUAAUCCCAUCAUGCGGUAGGACUAUAACAUCGGUAGUUAAUCUUUCUUUUCCGUAAAGGACUACCCCCGAGUACUGAGGCAGGUUGGAGUACGUGUUACUCACCCGUGCCGCCGGUCGCCCGAUCAAAAGUUUGACUAAG